rnacentral:rRNA from 1 species
GACGAACGCUGGCGGCGUGCUUAACACAUGCAAGUCGAGCGGUAAGGCCCUUCGGGGUACACGAGCGGCGAACGGGUGAGUAACACGUGGGUGAUCUGCCUCGCACUCUGGGAUAAGCCUGGGAAACUGGGUCUAAUACCGGAUAUGACCACUGAUCGCAUGGUUGGUGGUGGAAAGAUUUAUCGGUGCGAGAUGGGCCCGCGGCCUAUCAGCUUGUUGGUGGGGUAAUGGCCUACCAAGGCGACGACGGGUAGCCGGCCUGAGAGGGCGACCGGCCACACUGGGACUGAGACACGGCCCAGACUCCUACGGGAGGCAGCAGUGGGGAAUAUUGCACAAUGGGCGAAAGCCUGAUGCAGCGACGCCGCGUGAGGGAUGACGGCCUUCGGGUUGUAAACCUCUUUCGACAGGGACGAAGCGAAAGUGACGGUACCUGUAGAAGAAGCACCGGCCAACUACGUGCCAGCAGCCGCGGUAAUACGUAGGGUGCGAGCGUUGUCCGGAAUUACUGGGCGUAAAGAGCUUGUAGGCGGUUCGUCGCGUCGAUCGUGAAAACUUGCAGCUCAACUGCGAGCUUGCGGUCGAUACGGGCGGACUAGAGUACUGCAGGGGAGACUGGAAUUCCUGGUGUAGCGGUGAAAUGCGCAGAUAUCAGGAGGAACACCGGUGGCGAAGGCGGGUCUCUGGGCAGUAACUGACGCUGAGAAGCGAAAGCGUGGGUAGCGAACAGGAUUAGAUACCCUGGUAGUCCACGCCGUAAACGGUGGGCGCUAGGUGUGGGUUUCCUUCCACGGGAUCCGUGCCGUAGCUAACGCAUUAAGCGCCCCGCCUGGGGAGUACGGCCGCAAGGCUAAAACUCAAAGGAAUUGACGGGGGCCCGCACAAGCGGCGGAGCAUGUGGAUUAAUUCGAUGCAACGCGAAGAACCUUACCUGGGUUUGACAUACACCAGAAAGCUGCAGAGAUGUAGCCCCCCUUGUGGUUGGUGUACAGGUGGUGCAUGGCUGUCGUCAGCUCGUGUCGUGAGAUGUUGGGUUAAGUCCCGCAACGAGCGCAACCCUUAUCUUAUGUUGCCAGCGCGUAAUGGCGGGGACUCGUGAGAGACUGCCGGGGUCAACUCGGAGGAAGGUGGGGACGACGCCAAGUCAUCAUGCCCCUUAUGUCCAGGGCUUCACACAUGCUACAAUGGCCGGUACAGAGGGCUGCGAUACCGCGAGGUGGAGCGAAUCCCUUAAAGCCGGUCUCAGUUCGGAUCGGGGUCUGCAACUCGACCCCGUGAAGUUGGAGUCGCUAGUAAUCGCAGAUCAGCAACGCUGCGGUGAAUACGUUCCCGGGCCUUGUACACACCGC